CUUACACAUGCAGUCGAGGGGCAGCGCGAGUAGCAAUACUUGGCGGCGACCGGCGCACGGGUGAGUAACACGUAUGCAACCUACCUUUAACAGGAGAAUAGCCCUGAGAAAUUGGGAUUAAUACUCCGUAACAAAAGCGAUGGCAUCAUUGCUUUUUGAAAGCUGAGGCGGUUAAAGAUGGGCAUGCGCAACAUUAGUUAGUUGGCGAGGUAACGGCUCACCAAGACAACGAUGUUUAGGGGUUCUGAGAGGAUUACCCCCCACACUGGUACUGAGACACGGACCAGACUCCUACGGGAGGCAGCAGUGAGGAAUAUUGGGCAAUGGGUGCAAACCUGACCCAGCCAUGCCGCGUGCAGGAUGACUGCCCUAUGGGUUGUAAACUGCUUUUAUACGGGAAGAAACCUGGAUACGUGUAUCCAGCUGACGGUACCUUAUGAAUAAGCAUCGGCUAACUCCGUGCCAGCAGCCGCGGUAAUACGGAGGAUGCAAGCGUUAUCCGGAUUCAUUGGGUCUAAAGGGUGCGUAGGCGGAAUAAUAAGUCAGUGGUGAAAUCCUACAGCUUAACUGUAGAACUGCCAUUGAUACUGUUGUUCUUGAGUGCAGUUGAAGUGGAUGGAAUGUGUCAUGUAGCGGUGAAAUGCUUAGAUAUGACACAGAACACCGAUAGCGAAGGCAGUUCACUAAACUGUAACUGACGCUGAGGCACGAAAGCGUGGGGAUCAAACAGGAUUAGAUACCCUGAUAGUCCACGCCGUAAACGAUGAUAACUCGAUGUGUGCGAUAUACAGCACGCGUCCAAGCGAAAGUGUUAAGUUAUCCACCU
rnacentral:rRNA from 1 species